GGAAGGGUAGCGAAGAGGCCAAACGCGGCGGACUGUAAAUCCGCUCCUUCGGGUUCGGGGGUUCGAAUCCCUCCCCUUCCA
rnacentral:tRNA from 1 species